rnacentral:lncRNA from 1 species
AUUUAAUCCUACACUGUCAUUUUCUAAAAGGCUACUAGAUUUAGCUUUAGGAGCUAUGGUUUGUUUGUAUCGCUGUUGUUCAUAUACGGUGGAUACCGAGAUUAGUGUAAGAUGAGUUUACGCUCGUGCUUGGAUACCGAGCUUAUUUUACAGUAGUGUGUAAACUGUUUCAGACUGUCGGAUGCCGUCGUGGUUGACGGUGG